AGGUCAGCAUGUCCCUUGAUACCUUGGGCUACACACAUAAUACAAUGGCCACUACAACGCGCAGCGACGAGGCGACUCUGAGCUAAUCGUCCAAAAGUGGCCCCAGUUCGGAUUGGAGUCUGCAACUCGACUCCAUGAAGUUGGAAUUGCUAGUAAUCACAGGUCAGCUAAACUGUGGUGAAUACGUUCUCAAGUCUUGUACUCACCGCCCGUCAAGUCAAGGGAGCCGGGAGUACCCGAAGUCUCUACAUAAGUAGGGCCUAAGGCAAGCUCGGUGACAGGGACUAAGUCGUAACAAGGCACGGCUAGCGGAAGCUG
rnacentral:rRNA from 1 species